UCUGUUCCUGAGGAUUCGCCCUUCCCACUAGAGCACCGCCAGAAUCACAUCGUCAUCACUGGAAUUCUCUUCACAGAAGAACCCGCUGUCUGGCUGUUGGGAAACCAAGCAGCACCUUGGUGCUCAUUCAAUAGCACACCUGGAAGUGUGAUCAUAGGAACGUCCAGGCCAGAGAGGCAGUCAGAGUCAUCUACCAACGCGCUCAUCAUACAGUCACCAUUCUUUGGCUGCAGUCAACAGAAACCAACUCCAGCUAAUUUACUGGAAGAAUAUAGGGUGGCUCACAGACUUGAAGAAAAAAAUGAAGACUAGGUCUUUGGAAAAACACAAACCAGGACAGCUAUGGGGUUCCACAAAGCAAGAACUAAUGAACCACCUCUUUGAGACACAAAACUAAAAGAAUUCCAGUGGUUUUCAGGCUCUACAAGUUCCCAGAGAUGGGGCCUUUGAUUGGUGUAGCUUGGCUUACUGCUUACCUCUCUGCUACCUGAAGGGGGAGCCUGUGAACUGACAGCCCAUCAGGACAGUGCCCAAUGGGGCAGGGGCUCAUCCCCCAAAGUAAAAUUGAGGCACUGUUAACAGAAGAAGAAUGAAAGGUCCCUAGGCAGGCAAAACCCACCGAUAUCCACAGAAGGCAUCUGAGGAACCAGGAAAAUUAGGAACAGGAAGAAGAAGAUCUGUACUUGGGGUUUUCUCAAAGCCUCCUGAUGCACUCUCCUUCUUCCUUCCAGCUCUAUAUCUAACCUACAGUCAUUGCUCCUCUAUUUUUCAAUUUUAUGCUGAUGCAGAUUAUGUAGAAUUAUAGAUGGUUUGCCAUCAGUUUCUCAUUGCACCAAAAUCAGUAAGAAAAUAUUCAAAAAUUGGGGGAAGUAGGAGUGGAAGAAUCAAUGGCACCUGAGUAAAACAGAGACAAAUAAAGGCAUGGUUUGCCAUGUCUGCACUUAAACAAGUAUUUUGCUAAGUCUGUAUUUGUACAGGCAAUGGUCACAGUUCACCGAUUUACCAAGUCUGAUUCCAUGGAUAAAUUGGUCUCCUUUUGUUUAAUUCAUCAAGUGACUUCUAACUUAUAAUGUUUCUCCCUUUGUCUCAAUAUGACAAGAGGUCUUGAAGAACCCUUACACAGAAAUGUCAUAUUAUUUGGAUGCCCACGAUGUAAAAGCACCCUCUGCAUUCUGAAUAAUUCUUUUCAAGAAAUAUGUGUUGAAUGCUUGCCAUGUACCAGGUGCUGGACUAAGUAAAGAUGUCUUGCCACCAAGAGCAGCCCAAAUUUGUUGGAUCUGCUGAAUGUACCCUGAAUGGACUAGAUGCUGCCUUUCCUGCUUCUCCUCCGCCCACCAUAGGUCAUGAUGCCUGCUUAGCAACACCUAGUGGUCAGCAGAGGGAACUGUCUGAAUCAAUGACGUGUUUAGGUCUUCUCUUACCAGUUAAAGCAAAUGCUCUUCUGCCCUGUCAGGUCCCAUUUCCAGACCAAAUAAUUACAACCUCUUUUCAUAUCUUUUUCAUGUAUGUGUGUCUAGAUUACUUUUAAAAUCUCAUUUUGUCCCCCUGUUAAUUCUCAUAUUUGACCAACACCUUGGAAACAUUCUUAUAGUACCUUUCAUCCCAGGAAAAUUUGACUUUGGAGUGAGCAAAAAAGACAGCUGCAUAUCUCCAAUGGUCUCUCAAAACAAAAUAAUAUUAAAUCUAAAUUUUCCCUACUUCCUUUAUUUGGGUUCAAAUAAUAUGAACAGGAACAGAAUUUAACCCAACUUUAACGUUGAAAUAUAUAGAUCCCUCUUUUUAAGGACAAUAAGUAAACAGAAAAUUCAGCAGAUGUGGAGAGAGUUGAUGCUGCAAAGGGAACACAUUCAUGAAGAAGCUGGACCCAGUCAGGUGCAAUCACAAAGCCCCUACUUUUUCUCAGUGCUCCUCACUCUGGCAAUCCAUUCUUUCUGAGCCCAUUGGAUGAAAUCUUGGUCAGUUUCCACAUAUUUCCCAAGAACUCUUAGCUUAAAAAAAAAUUUAAAUCAGUCUAAUGAUCAUAUAAGUCUAGUCCAGUAUAAUAUAAAAUACUCCAAACACUCUUUUUUUAGUUGACAGUCUUCCCUCACUGCCAGUUUGAAAACUGGAAUGAAAGAGGAAGAUUAAUUAUCAGCUUCUCACCCUGUCCUAUCUCCUUCUCUAACCCUAUUUGCUAAGUUGGACUUUCCGAUCUCUCCAGGGUCUAAGGGACAGAUGUACAUGGUGAAAGAUACAUCAUCAGAGCUGUCCCUCAGUAGAACAUCUGGGACAGCUGCCUUAACGCUUCUGCUUGGGGGGAGGGGAGAGUCUAUUUGCAUCGUGUCUUAAUUCCUCAUUUUGUUACAUCGUUAAAAUUUAAUUUGAAAAAUUCUUUUCAUGAUAACCUAAGGAACCAUGAAUGAUGCCCUAAUAUGCAGACUCCUUUCAAGUAGACUCGUCCUAAGUAGCCUUACUCAUUCAGUUGCCCCAGGUCCGUAGCCCAUUUGGGUCAGCCCUGAACUAGGUCUUGCCUUGCUGGCCAGCCUGGUGCCCCAGCAUGGCAGAUGCACCAUGGCUGGCACUGGACCCAGCUGCCUGAGCUCUAAUCCUAGCUCCACUAUUUCCUGGCCACGUGAUUGGGCAACUUACUUGGCUUCUUUGUAACUCAGUUUCCUUGUUUAUAGUACUAGGGUAAUAAUAGUCCCCACUAAAUAAACUUGUUAUGAGAAGUAAAUGAAGUAAACUAUGUACAGCUCUUAGAUGAGUGUCUGGUACAUACUAAGUGCUUACUAAAUACUAGCUAUUAUUAGUUUUUUUUAAGGUUAAAGUAUAAAUGACAACCUGAAAAAAUAUUUGGAAUAAGUAUAAAAUACAAAAAGUUACUAUUCAUAACAUAGGACAAACUCUUAUAAAUAUAAUAGAAGAAGGAAAUCGAGGGGCGCCUGGGUGACUCAGUUGGUUGAGCAUCUGACUUUGGCUCAGGUCAUGAUCUCAUGGUUCGUGAGUUCAGGCCCUGCAUC